UACAGAGGGGGCAAGCGUUGUUCGGAAUUACUGGGCGUAAAGGGCGCGUAGGCGGCCUGUUAAGUCGAACGUGAAAUCCCUCGGCUUAACCGGGGAACUGCGUCUGAUACUGGAUGGCUUGAGUUUGGGAGAGGUUGGUGGAAUUCCCAGUGUAGAGGUGAAAUUCGUAGAGAUUGGGAAGAACACCGGUGGCGAAGGCGGCCAACUGGACGAGUAUUGACGCUGAGGCGCGAAAGCGUGGGGAGCAAACAGG
rnacentral:rRNA from 1 species